UACGAAGGGUGCAAGCGUUACUCGGAAUUACUGGGCGUAAAGGGUGCGUAGGUGGUUUGUUAAGUCUGCUGUGAAAUCCCCGGGCUCAACCUGGGAAUGGCAGUGGAUACUGGCAAGCUAGAGUGCGGUAGAGGGUAGUGGAAUUCCCGGUGUAGCAGUGAAAUGCGUAGAGAUCGGGAGGAACACCAGUGGCGAAGGCGGCUACCUGGACCAGCACUGACACUGAAGCACGAAAGCGUGGGAGCAAACAGG
rnacentral:rRNA from 1 species